rnacentral:rRNA from 1 species
GAUGAACGCUGGCGGCGUGCUUAACACAUGCAAGUCGAACGAUGAAGCUCAGCUUGCUGGGUGGAUUAGUGGCGAACGGGUGAGUAACACGUUAGUAACCUGCCCUUAACUCUGGGAUAAGCCUGGGACACUGGGUCUAAUACCGGAUAGGAGCGUCCACCGCAUGGUGGGUGUUGGAACGCUUUAUCGGUGUUGGAUGGACUCGCGGCCGAUCAGCUUGUUGGUGAGGUAAUGGCUCACCAAGGCGACGACGGGUAGCCGGCCUGAGAGGGUGACCGGCCACACUGGGACUGAGACACGGCCCAGAGUCCUACAGGAGGCAGCAGUGGGGAAUAUUGCACGAUGGGCGCAAGCCUGAUGCAGCGACGCCGCGUGAGGGAUGACGGCCUUCGGGUUGUAAACCUCUUUCAGUAGGGAAGAAGCGACAGUGACGGUACCUGCAGAAGAAGCACCGGCUAACUACGUG